rnacentral:rRNA from 1 species
UGGGGAAUUUUGGACAAUGGGCGCAAGCCUGAUCCAGCCAUGCCGCGUGCGGGAAGAAGGCCUUCGGGUUGUAAACCGCUUUUGUCAGGGAAGAAAUCUUCUGAGUUAAUACCUCAGGAGGAUGACGUUACCUGAAGAAUAAGCACCGGCUAACUACGUGCCGGCAGCCGCGGUAAUACGUAGGGUGCAAGCGUUAAUCGGAAUUACUGGGCGUAAAGCGUGCGCAGGCGGUUUUGUAAGACAGAGGUGAAAUCCCCGGGCUCAACCUGGGAACUGCCUUUGUGACUGCAAGGCUUGAGUGCGGCAGAGGGGGAUGGAAUUCCGCGUGUAGCAGUGAAAUGCGUAGAUAUGCGGAGGAACACCGAUGGCGAAGGCAAUCCCCUGGGCCUGCACUGACGCUCAUGCACGAAAGCGUGGGGAGCAAACAGGAUUAGAUACCCUGGUAGUCCACGCCCUAAACGAUGUCAACUGGUUGUUGGGAAGGUUCCUUCUCAGUAACGUAGCUAACGCGUGAAGUUGACCGCCUGGGGAGUACGGCCGCAAGGUUGAAACUCAAAUGAAUUGACGGGG